UUAAAAAAAUUUUUAGACUUUAAAAAUUAAGACAUAAACACAAUUAGCCCAGGCCCGUAGGAUCAUCAGUACCACUGCCUUCUACCUCCAUAUCUUGUUCCACUGGAAGGUCUACAGGGGCAAUAACAUACAUGGAGCUCUCAUCUAUGACAACAGUGCCUCCUGAAAACUUCCCGGAGGACCUGCCUUAAGGCUAUUCCUGAAGCUGUUACUCUUCAAAAAUUUGUCCAUUGUGGUUUGCUGGGCUUGUUUUUCUAUUACUGGUUGACUGCAGGUAACUGAAACCAUGGAAAGGGACACUGCAGAUAAGGGGGACUACAGUAAAACAGUCCUCAUGGAAACAAAGUAAAAUCAGAAGUUGGAUUCAAGCUGGAAGCAAAAUGGGUGGAACUGGUCAGUCCACUAGCCAAUACCACCAAGCACGAUAGUCUGAUGCACUGCUGUGCUAGGAAACCACACCGUCAUGAAGACAUCCUGGAGUCUUCCAAUGAGGACAGGGGCAGUGCACCAACAAGGAACGACAUUUCACGGACAAGCUAUAUUGACAUUCAAGAGCAAGGCUCCUGGCUCUGAGUUCAAGAUGGCAGAGCAGGAAGAUCCUCUCACUGACACCAAAACUACAACUAUAUAUAGAACAGCUCUCUGAGAAUGACCUGAAGACUAGCAGAGCAGAUUUUCUACAGCUAUGGAUAUAAAGGAAAAGCCACAUUGAAACAGUGUUAGGAAGGAUUUUUGCUAUUUGAAGAAGUGGAUUAUGAGGGCAGUGACAACAAUGACAGUGAUAACAACUCGGGGGGUUUGCAUUGGAAUCUACCUCAGGAUCCUAGAGAGGAGCUGACUCAGCAGAGUGGAAAAGCAGCAAUGCCUGGCUAUACAUCAAACCUCCAGAUAACCCUCCGGUUCCCCCUAAAGACCUAAGGAAAGAGUGUGCAUGUAUCCAGACCCCCUGACAUUUAAGUGUUGCCAUCGCAGACCAACCCAGAGGCUAAGCAUGCAGGACCCAUUCUUCUCAAAAACGUCCUUUUCAUUAUAAGAACCCUCAGCAUUUCUUUUUUCUUAGGAACACCCUGGGGAUUGCCUAGUUGUGCUUUCACUUUGCAAACCCUAAGACCCUUGGAAAAAAAUCUUCAUCAUUAACUCUUGACCAGCGAGAUUGGGGUGAGGGGUGCCAACCUACCCCACCUCACAGUUGAAAAUCCAGGUAUAAAGUGUCAGCCC